rnacentral:rRNA from 1 species
CGGACGAACGCUGGCGGCGUGCUUAAUACAUGCAAGUCGAACGGAGCCUAGCCGGUAGUUUACUACAGGCGAAAGCUUAGUGGCGGACGGGUGAGUAACGCGUGGGCAAUCUGCCCCUAAGUCCGGGAUAACAGAGCGAAAGUUCUGCUAAGACCGGAUACUCUUCCUUGGUCGCAUGGCGGAGGAAGGAAAGGAUACGCUUAGGGAUGAGCCCGCGUCCCAUUAGCUAGUUGGUGAGGUAACGGCCCACCAAGGCGACGAUGGGUAGCCGGCCUGAGAGGGUGGACGGCCACACUGGGACUGAGACACGGCCCAGACUCCUACGGGAGGCAGCAGUAGGGAAUUUUCCGCAAUGGGGGAAACCCUGACGGAGCAACGCCGCGUGAGGGAAGAAGGUCUUCGGAUCGUAAACCUUUGUCAUCGAGGACGAAAACUGACGGUACUCGAGGAGGAAGCCCCGGCUAACUACGUG